rnacentral:rRNA from 1 species
UACGGGGGGAGCAAGCGUUGUUCGGAUUUACUGGGCGUAAAGGGCGCGUAGGCGGCCUCCGCAAGUCAGUUGUGAAAUCUCCGAGCUUAACUCGGAAAGGUCAACUGAUACUGCGGGGCUAGAGUGCGGAAGGGGCAACUGGAAUUCUUGGUGUAGCGGUGAAAUGCGCAGAUAUCGGGAGGAACACCAGUAGCGAAGGCGGCUCGCUGGGCCAUUCCUGACGCUGAGACGCGAAAGCUAGGGGAGCGAACAGG